AGAGUUUGAUCCUGGCUCAGGAUGAACGCUAGCUACAGGCUUAACACAUGCAAGUCGAGGGGCAGCAUUUUAGUUUGCUUGCAAACUGAAGAUGGCGACCGGCGCACGGGUGAGUAACACGUAUCCAACCUGCCGAUAACUCCGGAAUAGCCUUUCGAAAGAAAGAUUAAUACCGGAUAGUAUACGAAUAUCGCAUGAUAUUUUUAUUAAAGAAUUUCGGUUAUCGAUGGGGAUGCGUUCCAUUAGUUUGUUGGCGGGGUAACGGCCCACCAAGACUACGAUGGAUAGGGGUUCUGAGAGGAAGGUCCCCCACAUUGGAACUGAGACACGGUCCAAACUCCUACGGGAGGCAGCAGUGAGGAAUAUUGGUCAAUGGGCGAGAGCCUGAACCAGCCAAGUAGCGUGAAGGAUGAAGGCUCUAUGGGUCGUAAACUUCUUUUAUAUGGGAAUAAAGUUUUCCACGUGUGGAAUUUUGUAUGUACCAUAUGAAUAAGGAUCGGCUGACUCCGUGCCAGCAGCCGCGGUAAUACGGAGGAUCCGAGCGUUAUCCGGAUUUAUUGGGUUUAAAGGGAGCGUAGGUGGAUUGUUAAGUCAGUUGUGAAAGUUUGCGGCUCAACCGUAAAAUUGCAGUUGAAACUGGGAGUCUUGAGUACAGUAGAGGUGGGCGGAAUUCGUGGUGUAGCGGUGAAAUGCUUAGAUAUCACGAAGAACUCCGAUUGCGAAGGCAGCUCACUAGACUGUCACUGACACUGAUGCUCGAAAGUGUGGGUAUCAAACAGGAUUAGAUACCCUGGUAGUCCACACAGUAAACGAUGAAUACUCGCUGUUUGCGAUAUACAGUAAGCGGCCAAGCGAAAGCAUUAAGUAUUCCACCUGGGGAGUACGCCGGCAACGGUGAAACUCAAAGGAAUUGACGGGGGCCCGCACAAGCGGAGGAACAUGUGGUUUAAUUCGAUGAUACGCGAGGAACCUUACCCGGGCUUAAAUUGCAACAGAAUAUAUUGGAAACAGUAUAGCCGUAAGGCUGUUGUGAAGGUGCUGCAUGGUUGUCGUCAGCUCGUGCCGUGAGGUGUCGGCUUAAGUGCCAUAACGAGCGCAACCCUUAUCUUUAGUUACUAACAGGUCAUGCUGAGGACUCUAGAGAGACUGCCGUCGUAAGAUGUGAGGAAGGUGGGGAUGACGUCAAAUCAGCACGGCCCUUACGUCCGGGGCUACACACGUGUUACAAUGGGGGGUACAGAAGGCGGCUACCUGGUGACAGGAUGCUAAUCCCAAAAACCUCUCUCAGUUCGGAUCGAAGUCUGCAACCCGACUUCGUGAAGCUGGAUUCGCUAGUAAUCGCGCAUCAGCCAUGGCGCGGUGAAUACGUUCCCGGGCCUUGCACACACCGCCCGUC
rnacentral:rRNA from 1 species